rnacentral:rRNA from 1 species
GCCUAAAGAGAAGCUUGCGGCUGAUUAGCUUGUUGGUGAGGUAAUAGCUCACCAAGGCGACGAUCAGUAUCUGGUUCGAGAGGACGAUCAGACACACUGGAACUGAGACACGGUCCAGACUCCUACGGGAGGCAGCAGUAGGGAAUUUUCCGCAAUGGGCGAAAGCCUGACGGAGCAAUACCGCGUGAGGGAUGACGGCCUAUGGGUUGUAAACCUCUUUUUUCAGGGAGGAACAAAUGACGUGUACCUGAAGAAUAAGCAUCGGCUAACUCCGUGCCAGCAGCCGCGGUAAGACGGAGGAUGCAAGUGUUAUCCGGAAUCACUGGGCGUAAAGCGUCUGUAGGUGGUCCAAUAAGUCAACUGUUAAAUCUUGAGGCUCAACCUCAAAACCGCAGUCGAAACUAUUAGACUAGAGUAUAGUAGGGGUAAAGGGAAUUUCCAGUGGAGCGGUGAAAUGCGUAGAUAUUG